AUCAAUUUUUGUGAUGUGUUGCAUUUCAGCCUUCCUCCUUCUUUUUCUUCAUUCCAGUAUCUUGAGAUAUAUAAGCGUUGCGUUGCGAUUUCAUUUGGUUUCCUUUUAUUCUUAUUGUUAGUUUAUCUCGCGCUUGAAAUUACCAAAAUUUUUACAUUGAGAUUUUAGGUGACGGCGUAAUUGUUAGAAUAUCGUAUUCGAAUUUCUCAUUCCCACUCCCUGCAAUGUAAUUCAUCUAUUAUGUCCGCCUUUUCUUUCACCUAACCGCGCUUAUGCACUUAUUCCACUUAUUCCAACUGCUCUCGUCAUCUCAAGUUCUUCCUGUUUUCGGUAUUCGAUCUAGUUUUUACGGAGCAAGUAGCGAUGCAGAUACCAGCCUGCAAGCCAGUCUGUCUCACCGUUCGUAGAGAUUGCAAGUUCGCGUUGUCCAGCCUUAGUUUUCCUUGGCGAAAGAAUUCCCGACGAUAUAACUACACUCUGUUAAUAUUUUAAUCUAUGAAAUAUCGUCACAGAAAUAUGCGCUAGGAAUAUUUGACAACUUCCGUCAACCCUUGCUGAUCUACGCUCUGCGUGCAGUCGAUUACGGACGAGAUUUUAACGUCGGCUGAUCAAGUAUCGGCAUCGAUACCGUCUCUCUAGCCAUUGAUCCAAGAUUCCCCAGCAGUGGACCGCGUUGCAGCUGGUGCAAGCACCUUAGCCGAAAAUACCAGUUUGAGGGAACAACCUGCACCAUCAUCAGUACCCGUCUCACUUCGUUCAAACGUCUGACGUCAAAAUGAUAACCUGCUGACGUUCUGGAUCGAACCGUCUAGAUUUCGCUACCUGGAACAGCCAAUAGUGUUUUUGGCUCUCUGCUUACAACCUGUUUUUGAUCGCUUGCACGAUUCGGGGCGCGGUUGGACCGGAAAAUUUGAGCUGCGCCACUCAAAAGACCGGACCCAACUACGUUCCGAUGGAAAUUGCGACCUGCACCUUUCCCGCCGCACGACAAAUGCAUACUCGAGACGCCUCGGUGAAAUGCUUGUACCAGGCAUAAUAUGACAUGUAUCCUAAUGAAAAAAUUCGAGAAGACUGUUGAAAUACAUAACAAUAAACCCUGAAAGUUUCGUUU